rnacentral:pre_miRNA from 1 species
UUGAUACUUCCUCCGUUUCAAAAUUUUUGUCUUACAUUUAUCUAAAUACAAAUGUAUUAAGUUAUAUUUUAGUAUAAGAUACGUUCGUAUCUAGACUAAUUUAAAAUAAGAAUUUUAGGACGGAUUGAGUACAAG